AUGAGGCUCUGCUUCUGUGUGGCUCUUUGUCUCCUGUGGGCAGGAAACCUGGAUGCCCAAAUCACCCAGAGCCCAAGAUACAAGGUCACAGGGACAGAAAAGAAGGUGACUCUCAGGUGUCACCAGACUGAUAACCAAAACGUUAUGUACUGGUAUCGCCAAGACCUGGGCCAUGGGCUGAGGCUGAUCCAGUACUCAUUUGGUGUUGGCAGCAUCGAAAAAGGAGAUGUCCCUGAGGGGUACAGUGUCACUAGGCCAAAUACAGAGAACUUUGCCCUCACACUGGACUCAGCCACCCUCUCCCAGACAUCUGUGUACUUCUGUGCCAGCAGUGAAUCCACAGUGGUUCAUGGCUGA